UCAACGGCCGCGGUACCCUAACCGUGCGAAGGUAGCAUAAUCACUUGUUCUCUAAAUAAGGACUUGUAUCAACGGCACUACGAGGGUUAUACUGUCUCCUUUUUCCAAUCAGUGAAACUGAUCUCCCCGUGAAGAAGCGGGGAUCAAAAUAUAAGACGAGAAGACCCCAUGGAGCUUUAAACUCACUGUACACCUCUAUGUUCCUAUAUCCUUAUAACACAAGAAACCUGUACAUUAGUUUUAGGUUGGGGGGACCACGGAGUACAACUUAACCUCCAUAACAAAUGGGCUAACACCCUUAUCCACGAGACACAACUCUAAGAAUUAAUAGACUAAUGCUUAUGACCCGAUAUUCGAUCAAUGAACCAAGUUACCCUGGGGAUAACAGCGCAAUCUACUUCAAGAGCCCAUAUCGACAAGUAGGUUUACGACCUCGAUGUUGGAUCAGGGUAUCCCGGUGGUGCAACCGCUACCAAUGGUUCGUUUGUUCAACGAUCAAAACCCUACGUG
rnacentral:rRNA from 1 species